rnacentral:rRNA from 1 species
UGGGGAAUUUUGGACAAUGGGGGAAACCCUGAUCCAGCCAUCCCGCGUGUGCGAUGAAGGCCUUCGGGUUGUAAAGCACUUUUGGCAGGAAAGAAACGUCAUGGGUUAAUACCCCGUGAAACUGACGGUACCUGCAGAAUAAGCACCGGCUAACUACGUGCCAGCAGCCGCGGUAAUACGUAGGGUGCAAGCGUUAAUCGGAAUUACUGGGCGUAAAGCGUGCGCAGGCGGUUCGGAAAGAAAGAUGUGAAAUCCAAGAGCUCAACUUUGGAACUGCAUUUUUAAACACCGGGCUAGAGUGUGUCAGAGGGAGGUGGAAUUCCGCGUGUAGCAGUGAAAUGCGUAGAUAUGCGGAGGAACACCGAUGGCGAAGGCAGCCUCCUGGGAUAACACUGACGCUCAUGCAAGAAAGCGUGGGGAGCAAACAGG